rnacentral:rRNA from 1 species
GACGAACGCUGGCGGCGUGCUUAACACAUGCAAGUCGAACGGAAAGGCCCUGCUUUUGUGGGGUGCUCGAGUGGCGAACGGGUGAGUAUCACGUGAGUAACCUGCCCUUGACUUUGGGAUAACUUCAGGAAACUGGGGCUAAUACCGGAUAGGAGCUCCUGCUGCAUGGUGGGGGUUGGAAAGUUUCGGCGGUUGGGGAUGGACUCGCGGCUUAUCAGCUUGUUGGUGGGGUAGUGGCUUACCAAGGCUUUGACGGGUAGCCGGCCUGAGAGGGUGACCGGCCACAUUGGGACUGAGAUACGGCCCAGACUCCUACGGGAGGCAGCAGUGGGGAAUAUUGCACAAUGGGCGGAAGCCUGAUGCAGCAACGCCGCGUGCGGGAUGACGGCCUUCGGGUUGUAAACCGCUUUCGCCUGUGACGAAGCGUGAGUGACGGUAAUGGGUAAAGAAGCACCGGCUAACUACGUGCCAGCAGCCGCGGUGAUACGUAGGGUGCGAGCGUUGUCCGGAUUUAUUGGGCGUAAAGGGCUCGUAGGUGGUUGAUCGCGUCGGAAGUGUAAUCUUGGGGCUUAACCCUGAGCGUGCUUUCGAUACGGGUUGACUUGAGGAAGGUAGGGGAGAAUGGAAUUCCUGGUGGAGCGGUGGAAUGCGCAGAUAUCAGGAGGAACACCAGUGGCGAAGGCGGUUCUCUGGGCCUUUCCUGACGCUGAGGAGCGAAAGCGUGGGGAGCGAACAGGCUUAGAUACCCUGGUAGUCCACGCUGUAAACGGUGGGUACUAGGUGUGGGGUCCAUUCCACGGGUUCCGUGCCGUAGCUAACGCUUUAAGUACCCCGCCUGGGGAGUACGGCCGCAAGGCUAAAACUCAAAGGAAUUGACGGGGCCCCGCACAAGCGGCGGAGCAUGCGGAUUAAUUCGAUGCAACGCGUAGAACCUUACCUGGGUUUGACAUGGAUCGGGAGUGCUCAGAGAUGGGUGUGCCUCUUUUGGGGUCGGUUCACAGGUGGUGCAUGGCUGUCGUCAGCUCGUGUCGUGAGAUGUUGGGUUAAGUCCCGCAACGAGCGCAACCCUUGUUCACUGUUGCCAGCACGUUAUGGUGGGGACUCAGUGGAGACCGCCGGGGUCAACUCGGAGGAAGGUGGGGAUGACGUCAAGUCAUCAUGCCCCUUAUGUCCAGGGCUUCACGCAUGCUACAAUGGCUGGUACAGAGAGUGGCGAGCCUGUGAGGGUGAGCGAAUCUCGGAAAGCCGGUCUCAGUUCGGAUUGGGGUCUGCAACUCGACCUCAUGAAGUCGGAGUCGCUAGUAAUCGCAGAUCAGCAACGCUGCGGUGAAUACGUUCCCGGGGCUUGUACACACCGCCCGUCAAGUCAUGAAAGUUGGUAACACCCGAAGCCGGUGGCCUAACCGUUGUGGGGGAGCCGUCGAAGGUGGGACUGGUGAUU